rnacentral:rRNA from 1 species
GACGAACGCUGGCGGCGUGCUUAACACAUGCAAGUCGAACGGGCUCUGUCUGGCUGUGUGCUGGGUGGGGUUAGUGGCGAACGGGUGAGUAAUACGUGAGUAACCUGCCCUCUUCUUUGGGAUAAGCCUUGGAAACGGGGUCUAAUACUGGAUAUUCCUGUCUGGUCGCAUGGCUGGGUGGGGAAAGUUUUUUUCGGUGGGGGAUGGGCUCGCGGCCUAUCAGCUUGUUGGUGGGGUGAUGGCCUACCAAGGCGUCGACGGGUAGCCGGCCUGAGAGGGUGACCGGCCAGACUGGGACUGAGAUACGGCCCAGACUCCUACGGGAGGCAGCAGUGGGGGAUAUUGCACAAUGGGCGCAAGCCUGAUGCAGCGACGCCGCGUGGGGGAUGACGGCUUUCGGGUUGUAAACCUCUUUCGUCGGGGGACAAGGCUCUGCUUGGUGGUGGGGUUGAGGGUACCCGGUGAAGAAGCGCCGGCUAACUACGUG